GUCAAAAGUGGCGAGGAAACGAGUAUGAACAUGGACGCACGAGAUUUACGCAAGUACAUUAUUGAAGACUCACAAGGGAAUGGAUACGCUAAUGAUAUGCUUAAAGUUAGAGAGAAAGCUGAAUGGAAAGUGUACAUGUAUUGAGUCUUGUUUAUGUAUUGUAUACUAAUGUGAUGAAUGUAUGUGGUGAGUGCAGGUUGUACGAAUCACGGGUGGUUAUCACGAGGAAUAGAGCUCGAAGAGCGAGUCACAAGCUAGAUUGUACGGGAAUAACUGAAUAUGUAUUAUUAGUAAUCAGGGCUUAUGCUUUAUUUUUUUGUAAAAGAUACAUAUUAAAACGUACUUUCAAGUAAGUCAUGACGUUAAUAAUGAAAGAAA